UACGUAGGGGGCUAGCGUUGUCCGGAUUUAUUGGGCGUAAAGAGCGUGUAGGCGGCCAGGUAGGUCUGGUGUGAAAACUCGAGGCUUAACCUCGAGAUGUCAUCGGAAACCAUCUGGCUAGAGUCCGGAAGAGGAGAGUGGAAUUCCUGGUGUAGCGGUGAAAUGCGCAGAUAUCAGGAAGAACACCAAUGGCGAAAGCAGCUCUCUGGGACGGUACUGACACUGAGACGCGAAAGCGUGGGGAGCGAACAGG
rnacentral:rRNA from 1 species